UUGAUCCUGGCUCAGGAUGAACGCUGGCGGCGUGCCUAAUACAUGCAAGUCGAGCGAACAGAUAAGGAGCUUGCUCCUUUGACGUUAGCGGCGGACGGGUGAGUAACACGUGGGUAACCUACCUAUAAGACUGGAAUAACUCCGGGAAACCGGGGCUAAUGCCGGAUAACAUUUAGAACCGCAUGGUUCUAAAGUGAAAGAUGGUUUUGCUAUCACUUAUAGAUGGACCCGCGCCGUAUUAGCUAGUUGGUAAGGUAACGGCUUACCAAGGCAACGAUACGUAGCCGACCUGAGAGGGUGAUCGGCCACACUGGAACUGAGACACGGUCCAGACUCCUACGGGAGGCAGCAGUAGGGAAUCUUCCGCAAUGGGCGAAAGCCUGACGGAGCAACGCCGCGUGAGUGAUGAAGGUCUUCGGAUCGUAAAACUCUGUUAUUAGGGAAGAACAAAUGUGUAAGUAACUAUGCACGUCUUGACGGUACCUAAUCAGAAAGCCACGGCUAACUACGUGCCAGCAGCCGCGGUAAUACGUAGGUGGCAAGCGUUAUCCGGAAUUAUUGGGCGUAAAGCGCGCGUAGGCGGUUUCUUAAGUCUGAUGUGAAAGCCCACGGCUCAACCGUGGAGGGUCAUUGGAAACUGGGAAACUUGAGUGCAGAAGAGGAAAGUGGAAUUCC
rnacentral:rRNA from 1 species